UAAUCGGUUGAGUUCCAGCUGACAGUCAGCUGAUAACCUUUGACAGUUGAGAAAAGUUUUGUUUCUGCACUAAUAUGUUAAUUAGCCCUCCAAAUGUGCAAGCCUAUUGGCUCUUCGUCCGAGUCAAUUUUCCAUUUCCAACCUGACGUCAGGGUGGCUAUAAAACUCUGCAAUGCUUUUAAACUCAUCUGCUGUGUGAUCCUUCUAAAAAAUCGCCUGCAAGUUAGAGCCAUAUUACGUGCGAGGCUAAAUUUAUCCCUUCUCGAGAUAUAACCAUCACCGCUUUAGGCAAUGGAUAGAUGAAGAAACAUUAAAGUGUUAAAUGUUUAAAAUACAAAGCCGCCGAAUUUCUCUUGUUGAAAGAGGACUCCGCAACUUGAGUGCACGGCUCUGGUGAGUCUGUGCAAUAGACUGCAAAGGGAAAGUAUUCAUCUACAGUUGGGAACCCGUCGUUGCAAAAAGGACGUUGAAAAUAUUUUUUUCUACUUUAAACAAAUACGCUUAAAAAUCAAACUGGCUCACGUUCUUCCGAAGCAACCCAGUUUGACAGCUGCUCUUCACCCCGUUUGGAGGACUGUCAGCAGCAAGAGGAUGGCAUCAGAGCUGGCAAUGAGCAACUCCGACCUGCCCACCAGUCCCCUGGCCAUGGAAUAUGUUAAUGACUUCGAUCUGAUGAAGUUUGAAGUGAAAAAGGAGCCGGUGGAGCCCGAUCGCAACAUCAGCCAGUGCAGCCGCCUUAUCGCCGGGGGAUCCUUGUCUUCCACCCCGAUGAGCACGCCUUGCAGCUCGGUGCCCCCUUCUCCAAGCUUCUCGUCGCCCAGUCCGGGCUCGGGGAGCGAACAGAAGGCACACUUGGAGGAUUUCUACUGGAUGUCCGGUUAUCAACAGCAGUUGAAUCCGGAGGCGCUGGGUUUCAGCCCCGAAGACGCAGUUGAGGCGCUGAUCAACAGCAGUCACCAGCUCCAGUCCUUCGAUGGCUAUGCUAGAGGACAGCAGUUUGCCGGCGGAGCCGGAGGAGCAGGCACCAUGGCCGGGGAAGAGAUGGGCUCCGCCGCUGCGGUGGUGUCCGCAGUUAUCGCCGCCGCAGCAGCCCAGAAUGGGGGUCCUCACCACCACCACCACCACCACCACAACGGUGGUCACCACCACCAAUCACCCGGGGUCCCGUCCAACGGCAGCUCCGGAGGAAACCAUCCACAUAUGGGACAUUUGGACGACCGGUUUUCGGACGACCAGCUGGUGACUAUGUCGGUGCGGGAGCUCAACCGACAGCUACGAGGGGUCAGCAAGGAAGAAGUGAUCCGGCUGAAACAGAAGAGGAGGACCCUAAAGAACAGAGGCUAUGCCCAGUCCUGCCGCUACAAGCGGGUCCAGCAGCGGCACGUCCUGGAGGGCGAGAAGACGCAGCUCGUCCAGCAAGUCGACCACCUUAAGGCUGAGAUCUCCAGGCUGGUCCGGGAGAGGGACGCAUACAAAGAAAAAUACGAGAAGCUCAUCAGCAACGGCUUCAGAGAAAAUGGAUCCAGCAGUGACAACAACCCUUCCUCCCCGGAGUUUUUCAUGUCGUCCAGAAAAUUCCUCCAUCUGUGAUCCAGACCCUCGCCGCUCUGUGCCCUUGGCCUUGACGUCUGAGAUGUUCAGAGAGGAUGCAGAGAUGUGGGUUACCUUAUCAGAGCAAUCAGAGGAAGGAAUUCAGCUGCAAACAAAUUACUUGAGAGUGGCUGACCAAUGGCACAAAGGAUCCCGACAAAGCACAACACCAUUUAGAGAUGACUUCACAUGGAAAAGAAGAUAUGACAAAAGAUAGCCCCAAAUUCUCUUUAAAAUCCAUGCAGAGAAAUUCUCCAGUGCUUCUUCCUACGCCCACUUUCAUCAAUUUUACCUCCAGCUUUUUUUUUAAGAAAACAAAAACAAAAAACAAACAGAACUCAAAUGAUGAAUCAAGAAAAGUGACAAAAGUAUUAUGGGACAAACCAUGUCCUCCUCAGGGGGGGAAAUGAAAUGUUGAUGCAUGUUACUGUAAGUACUUCAUAUUACCCUCCCCCAACCCCCAAGUGGGAUGUCUUUACUAAGAAGACUAUUCUCAGUUCGUCUUUCCUGAUUGUGGAUGAAAUAUCUCUGAAAUAUCUCACCUCCCUCUGAAAUCCAUAACUCUUUAUCAGAGGUCAUUGUAAUUAUCAUUGACUAUACGUUCCUCGUUUUAGAGAACUUAUACUUAUCUGUAUAUUUUUUGUUAGUUUGACUAUAAGACAUACAUUAGUGUGUACUCUUUGCAUAAUGAACCAGUCUUCCUCUCCAAUGUACCAUUCCAUGUGUACAUGAGUGAUGUACCAUAGCAUGGAGCUGACUUUAGUGUAUACCUCCGUACCCUUGUAGAUCACAAAACCCAUAAUUGUGGAUAGUAUAACGAUUACAUCUUUUUAUUCCUAGAUUCCUAGGCAGUAUUAGCUUACUGUAUACCAUUUAGGCAAGUUCAUUCACCUGUGUAUUUGACUAUAAGCAUAUAAAGUUAUCGCUCAUUUUAUUAUGUGAAUACCUGCCGACAUGUUAAGGAGUUUUUUUUUUUUUAUAACGCUAAUGGGACUGCAAUGAGCCAUACAAUGUUAAAGACAGAAUCCAGAGUAAAAAUCCAAUAGAGAACACAUCCUCAGCCAGGAGUACCACUGCAUUCACAUGAUAUAUGAACCUGAGGUCCGCGGGCGGCCGCUCUUGUGUUUUUUUAAAAAUUGUUUUUAUUUUAUUUUUGAAAACCUGUAGCAAUGGCCCCACUCUGGGUUCUGUAAUGUGGUCCCUCCUGGAUGAGGAACAAACUGGUGACAUGGGCCAUAGGGCAACGCACUGUGUCUUCAGCUGAGGCAGGGGUCGCUCUCUCUUCCUCAUCACCUGCUGUGGUUUUCCAAGGUGCUCCUCUGUUAGACAGCAAGAAAAAUGGAUCACGUAGGAUUGUUUUAAAGUUGCCGAAACCAUAAAAUGUUCUUUGCUGAAGAUUUCAGAACUUCAAACCAAACAAACAGCCAGACUAAGUUCAGUUCAGAGGAUACUGUGCAUGGACCACAAUGCACGCAAGAAAACCUGAAAGCAUAUUCAUCCUCUUGCAUCCUCUACCUCUCUGCGCAUCAAGGACAAACCAGAACCCUAAACGGCCCCUACUCCCACAAUCCUCUAUGUUCCUUCUUUUGCCUAUCCCAGAGCCCCAUGAGGAGAGUGCCAUUUACUCUGUUUUAGACAAUAUGGAUGGACCCUCAUGAUGAAGGAGGAAAGCAAUCCAACAAAUAAGUUCACAGACAUGUGGGGACAAGUGGAAUACAGUCAUGUAUAUAUGUAUAUUCUGUGUGUAUAGAACCCUACGCUGUAAGUAUUCUGCAUGUUGACAUGUAGAGGAAAAUAUGGAUUGUGAUUUUAAUACCUACUGUAGACAGGAUGGUGCCCACUGGAUCAAACAGAGGAAGAGACCGUCUCUGUGAGUUGACGGAAGAACUCUGUCCUUCAUGUGCUUACUAUGGGGUACAUAUUCGACUCUGUUUCCCUAAUAAUUACAGACGUAAUGCAUUUAAUAACAUGUUAUGGAAAUACUGUUGCUUUUACCCAUUCCUAUCCUAUUUAAAAAUUACCUGAGUAAAACAGCAGAUCUGAAUAGGUUUUAUGCUCUUUGACGGGAUGCAUAACCUCCCCUUUGAUGUCAAACUGAACAGAACCUGACCAGACAGAAGAGCGGGAGCAGGCUGUGGGAGGGCGGUGGGUGUUUUGGGCUGCAAGGUGAAGGAGGGAGGGUGAACUAGGGCGCUCCAAUUAAGUGGCAGCACACAAAGUGUUGCGGGGCGCCCUGCCAGGAACUGUCCAUUCAUCCUGCGUGAAAGGGAUUUACACAUCUCAAUGAGUCAACAGCAUGACCAGGGCCUAGCAACAUGGGAAAGAAUGGAGCAAAAACAGAGAGGAGAAAAGGGGGAUGAGCGGAGAGGGAAAGAAGAGGAGAGAAAGGGAGGGAGCAAAGCAAAGGGAAGAAUGUGUGCAGAGGACAGGGGAGGGAAGUACAGAAAGUGAUAGGAAGGAGAGACAAGGGGACCAAUUCAUUCAAACCUGCAUUGCAGUAUUCAUGCAGUAAAUGGUUUUCCAAUGUUCCGAAAACCCAAAGACGUUUCUUAAGAACUAUACAAAAACGAACAAGUAUAAUCAGGUUGGCCUGACAGGUAUUCUUUAAUCUUUUCAGAAUUAGAAGUGUGUGGGCACCAAAUGAAAAUAAAGUCACUGCUUCAACAUUGCAUGGCUGGUUUGAAUGAAAUCAAGCCAGGUUUAAGUAAAUGAGUUGCCACGUUGAAGACUUCAGGCCAAACUGCCGCUAUCCUCUCGGCUAGCCCUGACCUGACUGCCCUGCUCUCCAUUCACCUGCACAAUACACCACUGACCCCUCAGCCACUUUCCAUAGUCACUGGCUUCACCACUUCAGCUUGUGCCACUGCCCCACAGCCCUGUGACCUCACAUCCUGCCUGAGGCUGACACUUUGUUAAUGAGCGUUAGCCCUAAGCUCAACCAGAUGUUCAGGCUAAAUGUUAAAUACCUGUUGCCCUUCCACACCAGUGACCCCUUUAUCCUCCUCGGUGCAUCUGCUCUCUCCAUGGGCCAGGAUCCAUGUGCAUUAGUCACUCUGUGCAGGGAGCCUCGACGCAGCCUGACUCUACUCUAAUCUGCUCUCCUCAUCCAACAAUAACAGUGUUCACUGACUGGUAAUAAUCACGUGACUAAUCAUAGCGUUAAAUGGGAUUGAUGUGGAUUCAGGGGAGAAUUGAGUUCUAGGCUUUGGGUGAUGACAGAGUUGUUGAUUGUGUGACAUGAGAUUCGUGCAGGCGUCAUAAUCAACACAUCAAUUCAAGGGGAAUCCUGAACAGUCGUUCGCCGCUGUAAAGCUUUCCCAAACCCGGCACAGUGUGUGUUGGUCUAUACAAGAACAAUGCUACGGCAGAGAAAGAGAGGUCUAGACUGUGGGUGAUGGAAGAGUUGGCCACCCAGGGGAAGCGAAUAGUGAUGGAAACUAGUUUGGGCAUACCACCGUCCUCACUCCUGCCACCUGUGUGGAGCAGCAGUUGUAGGGAGCAUUGGAUGCGUGAAUUAUCUCCCAUCCCUUACGAUAAGUGAAUAUACAAACACGACAUCAAACGGAGGAAAGGAGCGCAGCUUCUUCCUGGCUCCGCGGUGAUAAGUUAAUGCAGAUCCGUUAGGCAGAAAAAUAUUAAAGGAUGAAGAUGUCAGUCACACACACACGGCAGGAGACAACACCUUAAGCUGCUGUUGAUCUUUUCUCUGAGUUUGAAGUUCUCUGAUAACACUGAAAUGAAACAAAAACACUUUUGUGAGAAGACAAGAAUGGUGAAAGUGAUAGAUGUUUACCCCUAACCUGUUUGAAGAACAAGGCCAGUACGUUUUUGGGUGAAAUAAACUAGCAGACCCUUCAGUGUGUGACCCUGACCCUCACAUUUCCCACAGCCUCAGUUGUAUUCCCAUGGACUGCAGACGCUCACACAGUUCCACAAACACACAUACAAGUGCACACACUCUUAUUCUCAACAAAGCACACUCACUCUCUUUCAAUCACUCCAACAUGUAGCACCCCCCCCCCCCCCAAACACACACACACACACUCACACACACAUGCACUGCACACACCCACACUCAGACUAAUCUAAACAACAGGGCUGUAUGUAAACAGAUCGGUGCCAUAAUGGGAUUGUUCAGUGUGCAAACAAUAAGCUGUUAGCGUAAUCACAGGUCAAAGAUAUAUUACCCAGAAGGCCACGCCAAAGGUAUAUUAACAUGAUGGAUAUGUGGGGAGGAGAGGAGCAGGGGAUAGAGUGCUGUCCUGAUUCAGAUGUACCACUUAUUGAGUGCCCCUCCUUUUCUCUCUUCUCUUUACUUCUCUCACUCAUGUACAUAGAUCCUCUGUUUAAUCAGGCUCAUCCCUUCUUCUCACCAACACUCGUUCUUUUCCUCUCCCUCUCCUCACUGCUCAGUCCCUUCUUUUCCUUGCGUUCUGUGUGUGGAUUUUCAUUCUUUUAUCGUUCCCUUCAAUUUUCCUUCUCCACAGCUUUCUCCUUUUCUUUCCCACUUAUCGUCUACAUUUUCUACUCUUCUUUCUUCCCUUUCACCCCAUCUAGGCAGAGGCAAGCUACUGAAGCAGAGCACAGAGAGGAAGAGAGAUGCAAAACAAAGAGUUGCGGUGACAUAGACUCUGAAUGUUGUUUCUUGAUUAACUAAAGAGGGGUGUGGAUAAUAACGACUAACAGGCCGCAGAGCAAAGCGUUUCUCACCCCUCUGCAAUGGCAAAGUAAUUCACCACUGUCAGUAAACGGAGGAGAUGAGAAACUAGUGGUAGAGAGACAUAUUUGGGCCCAUUGGAAGCAUAUGCAUCCGCUACUCCGUGUUCUUCAGUAAGUACCUUUCAUAGCUUAUUCAUGUGUCAAGUCACAAGCAAACCAUCAGUCCAGACUUAAAAUAGAUAUACUUUGUACCCCUAUUGCUUUAGCCUUAUGGCUUAUCAACUUAGCUGUACUGCAUUUGUUUCAUCGCCUAUCUGCUCUUGCCUAGUUAAUAAGUGCAUGCCUCUCUGGCUGUACAGUUCAUUAGUGAGAUGGUGAGCUGGCUAAUGUGUGUCUAGGGUAGUCCUGACCCAUUGGAGCAGGUGCACAUUGGGACAGUAGCAGAGCAAAUAUUGGGGAAGUGCCGAGAAGAGAAAAACAGCUUAUAUGAGAGACAAUGUGUACAUUUAGCAAAUGCCAGUGAUGAAAUAGUGAAUCUGGCGACUUGUGUCAUUUUGUAGAGUUUAGGGGCUUAAAUGUUUCAUAAAGACUUAGACAUUGGUCCCUUAGUGACGUAACUGAUAUUCCAACGCCAGGUAUGUAUCUUUGUAUUUGGCUGUAAUAUUUGAUACGGACCCACGGCCGGAGGCCACAGAAGGUUUUAGGGCUGAGGUCAGAGUUCAUAGGAUUACUGAACCUCUUUAGUGCAAGACUCCAUUGUGCCUCCGCGGCCGCCCUGAGUUAAAACAAUCACAUAAUGCUGCACCAAAGUUGCUCUAAUGAAAUUACAGAGUGGCCAAGCCUGGCUCAGCUUCACGUCAACCCUCCUUAACCCCUCACAAGCUGAGAUUGGCACCCAGGAAGAUUUGGGGCUUUAGAAAGAAUCAGAUUAGCCAAAUGGUCCUGGUUGAAGUAACAGCAGAAGGACACAUUUCUCUGUUACAUCAUCAGCAUAACAAUAUUGAAUCUCCAGCCUAGGAUUUGGCUACUAAUGAGGAUGUGGCUUCUAGUUUCCCACAGUUCAGAAUAAGAUUAAGCUGAGGUGAUACACAGAUAGUGAGAUCCAACACUACUGAGAACGAUAAGGGAAAAAGGACAGCAUAUGUAUUACAAAUACUGAGUAGUUGUGUAUGGUAAUAAUAGUAAUGAACAAGGAUCUAAAAUGAUUUUCCACUGAAUGGUCUCAGGCUGUAUUAACAAGGGAGAACAAUUCACAUCAUUUUUUCUUUACUUUUGAUGGGGGGAAAAAGUGUACUUGAAUGCAUGUACCAGAAAUUGUCAUGUGAACCAGUAAUCCCGUACCCGUUAAAGAGUCCCACUCAGCAAACAAAUAAUUGAGUUAGAAGACAAAGAAACACUUACAAUUUAUUCAAUCCUAUUGAUGCAGAGAGAGCAGAGUUUAUUCAUUUUAUCAAAUAUGCAAAUGAUACUGUAUUUCAUAUCAUACACACAGUCAUAACGUCAUGCAUUUAUUAGUAAGCGAAACUCAAAACAGGCAUUGGUUGUUGUAGGGUUGGGAAAAAACUGCUCCAAAAAUAAAUAAAUGGUGAAAAAAUUAAUCGCCCAUAGACAAUGGACAGGUGGCAUUUCAGGCUGUGCCGUUUAGUCGUGCAGUCUGCCUUCUGACAGCUUGAUUUAGGCUCCUGCAGCUGAGCCAGAAAAAUAGAGAAACUAAGGGAGAAACUGAGACAGAUAUGGUGAAUUGGAGAGACAGAGGGAGAAAAGAGAACCAAGGCAGACAAAUCUUUCUUUGGUAUCACAUUUUAGGCAUGAAUCAUGCUAUUUCAGAGGAUGCCAUCCUAUCAUUUCAAUAUUUGCAUACAGAUCAAUUUGAUGUGUCAAAAUAAGGAUCUGUGGACACUGUAGGUCACAGUGGGUUGUGCUACCCAUCUGACUCAGGCCAGGUACAUAGAGAGGUCAUAGCAGAGAAGGGAGUCACCCCUGCACUGUCACAGCCACCUGUGCCUGGCCAGGCUGGAGACAUGUAUGGCUCAUUGGGAGUGGAUGAGGGUUCAGGAGUUACAAAGGCAUUUUGUAGCAACAAGGAAGGAGGUUACGUGGGAGUUGACGUGCUUUUGUGUGUGUGUGUGUGUGUGUGUGUGUGUGUGUAAUCAUUUCCUAUUAGAGCAGUGAAAUGUCAGGCUUAAGACCAUUCUACUAGGGUCCUUCUCACUAUACCUCAAAAAAAAGAAUCCUAGAGGAUUGAGAGAGACAACGUUUGAACGACUGGAGACACCACACGUGUUCACACCCAGCACGUUCCAAAUAAAGAGCGCCCACUAAAUGAACCAAGUAUCAUGUAAUCCACACUAUUACAUUCUUGCAGUUUGCUACACACAGUGCUAUCCCAUACAUUAAGUCUACAAUAAAAUUUUAUUUUUUUUAGAUUUUGCUCUGGUCAGUGACAAUUCAGCUUGAGCGUAAUGAUGCUGUUAUGUCCUACUCCAAAAGUAUAAUUAUAUAAUAACGUAUUAUUCAUUUUUUACCUGAUCUGUCUUUCCCACCGAAGGACAAUGAAACAUUGUCAUGAUUUAAAUCUGGUUAAAUGUCAUGAUUUAAAUCUGGUUAAAUGUCAUGAUUUAAAGCUGGUUUAAACCCUGUUUUUAUAAGCCCCGACUGCUCUCACCGACCCAGGCUAAUUUGCACUUCCCUCUCAUUUCUAUGUCACUGUAUUAAACGUCUUCCUGAUUUCGUAUACAGGCUUCCGUGAUGUGGUUUUGAUUGUUCAACGGGGUGGGGUUCAGUUGACUGUGGUGGAAUCAUCAAAGAGGUCGUCAAAGCCUCGUAGAUGGCUACCAGGGGCCUUAUUGCCGCAGCGAUCAGCCCCCUGCUACUUGGCCUGGGUGACCCCAGUCAGAGAUAAGCUUUAUAGGAUAGCACAUUAACAUGCUGGGCAGGCCACCUCCCUCGUUUAUCAAAGGCACUGCUGUGAAAUCAACUGUUUAUGGACCUCUAGUGAGAGGGUAGCACCGCUGAUUGCCUAUACUAGGGCCUAGGUUGUAAAUGAGGUGCCCAUGGACAAAGAAACUUCAGUAGACUAGAGAUACAUAUAAUUAUGCUGGUGUUAUUCUCACUGAGCAAUGUAUGUAAUGACUACUGCCGUACCCCUGAGUGGUUGGGCAUGUCAACCCAGAAACCUGAACACCUCAGGGAAUGGUGUUUAUCCCCUUCUUCUAUGUACAAUACAAACUCACAGAAUAGUACAACCAAUGGACAUGUAGAUUACAAUAAACUUAGUGAUGUUUCAUAUUAUGUCUAUGUAUGGGUGUGUACAGUGGGGAGAACAAGUAUUAGAUACACUGCC